rnacentral:rRNA from 1 species
GGCGACGAUCAGUAGCCGGUCUGAGAGGAUGAACGGCCACACUGGGACUGAGACACGGCCCAGACUCCUACGGGAGGCAGCAGUGGGGAAUCUUCCGCAAUGGACGAAAGUCUGACGGAGCGACGCCGCGUGAGUGAAGAAGGCCUUCGGGUCGUAAAGCUCUGUCAUCAGGGACGAACGGCCGGUGGAGUGGAAAGCCACCGGAUUGACGGUACCUGAGAAGGAAGCCACGGCUAACUACGUGCCAGCAGCCGCGGUAAUACGUAGGUGGCAAGCGUUGUCCGGAAUUAUUGGGCGUAAAGCGCGCGCAGGUGGGAUCUUAAGUCCAUUUUGAAAGUUCGGAGCUCAACUCCGUGAUGGGAUGGAAACUGGGAUUCUUGAGUACCGGAGAGGAAAGCGGAAUUCCCCGUGUAGCGGUGAAAUGCGUAGAUAUGGGGAGGAACACCAGUGGCGAAGGCGGCUUUCUGGACGGUGUCUGACACUGAGGCGCGAAAGCUAGGGGAGCGAACGGGAUUAGAUACCCCGGUAGUCCUAGCCGUAAACGAUGGGUACUAGGUGUGGGGGGUGUCAACUCCUCCCGUGCCGGCGCAAACGCAAUA